CACAUGCAAGUCGAGCGCCCCGCAAGGGGAGCGGCAGACGGGUGAGUAACGCGUGGGAACGUACCCCCCGGUUCGGAAUAACUCAGGGAAACUUGAGCUAAUACCGGAUACGGCUGAGAGGCGAAAGAUUUAUCGCCGGGGGAUCGGCCCGCGUCCGAUUAGCUAGUUGGUGUGGUAAUGGCGCACCAAGGCGACGAUCGGUAGCUGGUCUGAGAGGAUGAUCAGCCACAUUGGGACUGAGACACGGCCCAAACUCCUACGGGAGGCAGCAGUGGGGAAUAUUGGACAAUGGGCGAAAGCCUGAUCCAGCCAUGCCGCGUGAGUGAUGAAGGCCUUAGGGUUGUAAAGCUCUUUCACCCACGACGAUAAUGACGGUAGUGGGAGAAGAAGCCCCGGCUAACUUCGUGCCAGCAGCCGCGGUAAUACGAAGGGGGCUAGCGUUGUUCGGAAUUACUGGGCGUAAAGCGCGUGUAGGCGGGUCCUUAAGUCAGGGGUGAAAUGCCAAGGCUCAACCUUGGAACUGCCUUUGAUACUGGGGAUCUUGAGUCCGGGAGAGGUGAGUGGAACUGCGAGUGUAGAGGUGAAAUUCGUAGAUAUUCGCAAGAACACCAGUGGCGAAGGUGGCUCACUGGCCCGGAACUGACGCUGAGACGCGAAAGCGUGGGGAGCAAACAGGAUUAGAUACCCUGGUAGUCCACGCUGUAAACGAUGGAUGCUAGCCGUUGGGGAGCUUGCUCUUCAGUGGCGCAGCUAACGCC
rnacentral:rRNA from 1 species